UACGAACCGUACAAACGUUAUUCGGAAUUACUGGGCGUAAAGGGUGCGUAGGCGGUUGUUUAAGUCUGUCGUGAAAUCCCCGGGCUCAACCUGGGAAUGGCGAUGGAUACUGGACAGCUAGAGUGUGUCAGAGGAUGGUGGAAUUCCCGGUGUAGCGGUGAAAUGCGUAGAGAUCGGGAGGAACAUCAGUGGCGAAGGCGGCCAUCUGGGACAACACUGACGCUGAAGCACGAAAGCGUGGGGAGCAAACAGG
rnacentral:rRNA from 1 species